CGUGUAGGCGGGUCUUUAAGUCAGGGGUGAAAUGCCAAGGCUCAACCCUGGAACUGCCUUUGAUACUGGAGAUCUUGAGUCCGGGAGAGGUGAGUGGAACUGCGAGUGUAGAGGUGAAAUUCGUAGAUAUUCGCAAGAACACCAGUGGCGAAGGCGGCUCACUGGCCCGGAACUGACGCUGAGACGCGAAAGCGUGGGGAGCAAACAGGAUUAGAUACCCUGGUAGUCCACGCUGUAAACGAUGGAUGCUAGCCGUUGGGGAGCUUGCUCUUCAGUGGCGCCGCUAACGCAUUAAGCAUCCCGCCUGGGGAGUACGGUCGCAAGAUUAAA
rnacentral:rRNA from 1 species